rnacentral:rRNA from 1 species
UACGUAGGGACCAAGCGUUGUUCGGAUUUACUGGGCGUAAAGGGCGCGUAGGCGGCUCAACAAGUCACUUGUGAAAUCUCCGGGCUUAACUCGGAACGGCCAAGUGAAACUGUCAAGCUAGAGUGCAGAAGGGGCAAUCGGAAUUCUUGGUGUAGCGGUGAAAUGCGUAGAUAUCAAGAGGAACACCUGAGGUGAAGACGGGUUGCUGGGCUGACACUGACGCUGAGGCGCGAAAGCCAGGGGAGCAAACGGG